rnacentral:rRNA from 1 species
UGGGGAGCAUGGGUUAAUUCGAUGCAACGCGAAGAACCUUACCUGGUCUUGACAUCCACAGAACUUGGCAGAGAUGCCUUGGUGCCUUCGGGAACUGUGAGACAGGUGCUGCAUGGCUGUCGUCAGCUCGUGUUGUGAAAUGUUGGGUUAAGUCCCGCAACGAGCGCAACCCUUAUCCUUUGUUGCCAGCGGUUAGGCCGGGAACUCAAAGGAGACUGCCAGUGAUAAACUGGAGGAAGGUGGGGAUGACGUCAAGUCAUCAUGGCCCUUACGACCAGGGCUACACACGUGCUACAAUGGAAA